rnacentral:lncRNA from 1 species
GAAUGCAUUCAUUCCCCGUCCUUUUCCACUUUCCACCCCAAUAGUUAUUACAAAAAUUAUUACAGACCGAAUGAGUCAGAAAGAAAGAAAAAGUAAAAAUUACAUCAGAAGCUCCAACUACAUCCAAAUAGGCUAAUUCAGACUCAAAGUCCAACAAUAUGAGAUAAACCAACUUCUAGGAUCAGAUAUCCAAAAGACCUUCUCAUAUUUGGAGUGUGUCAAAGUUCCCAAGAGUCUCAGAGGGACUCUGUGCAUUGGUUACACCCCAAAACAUUUCAGAAUCAAUAAUGUAGUGUAGUAUGGAAAAGCCAGCUUUCAGAUGUCCAAGUUCAAAGGGAACUCCAGGUCCUAAAGCAAGGCUCAAAAGAGAGGGGCAGAGCUUAAGUUUCUAGGAAUAGGUGUAGGUGCACAAAGGGGAAGAGAAUCAAGGAAAGACAUGGCAAGCUAGUGGUCAUACCCAGCAAUUGGGAUACUGGCACACCCCUGAAUAGCCUGCUAGUCAAGCAUUGAUAGUUAGGAUCCAUUGUGGAUCAAGCCAAGGCCUGGGCAGUAAUUAGGAUACUGUCAAGCCAAGAGAUUAAGUCAACUCAUUGAAGGGGAUGGGGGUAGAGGAUUCAUAAUAGAAACAGAAGCAAA